AUGAGGGUCUCGGUGAGAGAUUGGUGGACCAGCAACAUACACAUUCGGGUUGGAUCUUCCAAGGCGCUGACCUCUCUGAUGAUGCUCAUCUCAUGGAAGAUAUGGACCGAACGCAAUGCUAGAGUCUUCCGUAACACGGCCGUCACUUCGAUGGUUCUCAUUUCCAAGAUUAAAAAGGAGGCGUCUCUUUGGUCUCUGGCCGGUGCAAAAUAGUUGGGUAUUGUAAUGCGGCGAGAGCAGUUCUUUCUUUUUUCGCCGCUUUGCAGCUUUGUUCUAAAACUUCUUCCUCUGGAAUGGCAAAUCUUUUGCCUUAUUUCAAAAAAAAAAAAACUAGCUGCACGACGACUGCACGUCUCACAGGUGCUCCCGAGCCGAAGGAUGACUCGAAAAAAAUAUAACUAA
rnacentral:rRNA from 1 species